UACGUAGGGGGCAAGCGUUGUCCGGAAUCAUUGGGCGUAAAGCGCGUGUAGGCGGCUCGGUAAGUCUGUUCUGAAAGUCCAAGGCUCAACCUUGGGAUGCGGAUGGAUACUGCCGAGCUCGAGUCCGGAAGAGGCGAGUGGAAUUCCUGGUGUAGCGGUGAAAUGCGCAGAUAUCAGGAGGAAUACCGGUGGCGAAAGCGACUCUCUGGACGGCAACUGACGCUGAGGCACGAAAGCGUGGGGAGCAAACAGG
rnacentral:rRNA from 1 species